UUAAUUUGAGAGUUUGAUCCUGGCUCAGGACGAACGCUGGCGGCGUGCCUAAUACAUGCAAGUCGAACGAACUCUGGUAUUGAUUGGUGCUUGCAUCAUGAUUUACAUUUGAGUGAGUGGCGAACUGGUGAGUAACACGUGG
rnacentral:rRNA from 1 species